CAGCACUCGCCACAGACCGAGCUGUUGACAGCCUGGCCUCGGAUCAGAGGCCUAUGUGUGUUGUGACAGUGGGUUCGAGACAGGCAAUAUUGAAACAAGUCUUUUAAGCCUAGCGUGUAAAAGGCACACUUGCAUUACAAUUCAGUGACACAGUU